GAUUGAAUUCGAGGAGGACGACAAAGGCAUUGCACAGAUCAAAGAUGCAGCACCAUUUGCGCAUGCUGCAAGUUUACUUAAAUUGGACGAAAUCGCGUUUAAUGAGGCACUCGUUUCUUCAAAUAGGCGGCCCAAAAACGUACAACAAGCUGAAGACGGGAGAGAUGCCUUAGC